CAGUCUCGCGGUAACUUCGGUGAUUGUGUCAUUGUGCUGUGUGUUGCUGUGCACAUUUUUCUUUAGUGAGUAGUCAAGACUAUGCUGUAUUUCCCGAGCCACGGUCAUCCGUAGCCAAGAUCAGCUCAUCGUCCCUGAAUGAAUGAGAGAAAUAGAGAGACCGGCUCUGCGACCACGAGAAACCUUAACCUUUAACUCGGAAGGGUAAAGAUCAGUGAACGGCUGCAGCAUUGGUGAUAAUAUUUGUCCUGUUGAAUCUCUGCUUUACUCCAGACGAGUUAACGAUACCUUUCGUGGUGGCUUGAUUAGACUACAAUGAUACUUCACGUACUAUCUUGUAUUACCAUCCUCACGCCCCACUCAAGAAGAACGGAGAAGAAACGGUGUGGUUCACAUGGCUCGGGUUGGGUGGCCACUCCCCUCCUUCCCCAAUACUCGACAGGGUUUGGGAACCGCUGGAAGACAUGUUUGAAUUCUCAGACCAACCCAUGGCUCAGUCUCCGCGUCAGCCUCCUGUGAACACCUGACUCUUGUCCCGGCCGCUUCCCUCCAGCCUCACAGGGUACAGAUCCAGACCACUUUCUUCCUCUUCCUCGUUUUUAUCACAGUUUUCCAACGCGGUUUUAAUCUUGAUAUCUUGAUGGGCCAGAGGGAUUUUUUACGAGUGUUUUGUGUGCCUUUUGCACCUCUGCCAACGCUGCUCAAUGCCAGCCAGGAACCUAUAAAGUCUUUCCUCGCCUCUCACAGACCAGCGCCGGCUUCUGUGAAACGUUUCCCACAAAGAGCGUUCUGCACAUUCGCUUACUGAAUUGGAAAGCUUUCAGAGGGAACUUUUUCCUCUCUUUCUUCUUAUGUCUUGGUCUUUGUUUAAUAUAUCACAGUUCUGUUUUGCAGCAGGUAGGGAUUUGUAUAUCAAUUUCCUUUCUGAAUAUUGUCCGAAUUUAUGAAAUAGAAAAUAAACAUGAAAUGGAAAGCUUUGAGAGAAUUUUUUUUUUCUUUUUUUGGACUUUGUUUGAUAUAUCACAGUUUUAUUUUACAGCAGAUGGGCAUUUGUAUGUUAUUUAUUUUGCAUGUUUGAUGUCCGAAUUUAUAAAAGAAAAUAACGAUAAAAUGAGAAAUUGGAAAGCUUUGAGAGGGAACUAAUCUUUUUUUCCUUGGUCUGUCUUUCUUGAUAUAUUAUCUAUCUGCCUGUACUUUACCAGAAUUCAUGAAAUUCAUAGCAAAAGAUAAGAUAAAACACACAUUAAGACUUGAAACCUUAGCAGUACGAAAAAUAGGAACUAGAAAAAACUUCGUUAGCAUAUUAUAAAAAAAAAAAUAAGUAAAUAAACAAAUAAAUAAAAAAAAAAAGGAACAAAGAAUGAACCAACACAAGACAGAGUACGAGAGGCAGACACUGAGCAGUCAAGAGCAGCUGCAAGUGGGAGGCGCUACAAAGGCAUAUCCCCACGACCAUUAGUGGAGUGGAAUGGAAACUGAAAUGAAAUGUAUAGCUGGAGGGGAAAAAAAAACAUAUUGCAUCGAUUCUGGUUCCGUUUUCUAUUGUAUUCUUU